CCAAUUUGCACGGUUUUAGUAAUUUCCUUAUUUCAAAUUUCCCUAAAGCAUCGAAAUAUAGCAUUAACAAACUUAAACAAAAGAGCAAUUAAUAACAGAAAACACACUAAAAUUACACUAGUACAACCAGUUUUAUAUCCACAAACGACUAGGGGUCUGCAAAAUUCGGGUAAAACCGAAAAAAUUCAGUUAAUCGACCGAAUUCGGUUAGUCGGUUGGUUAACCGAAUUUUUUCGGUCGGGAGUCUGUUAAUUAUUUUUUGAUUUUUUGAUUAACGGUUAAUUCGGUUCGAAAUCGGUAGAUUAACCGAAUUUUUUCGGUUUAACCGAAAAAAUUAAUAAAUAAAAUUAUAAUAUAUAAAUAGGCCCACGAUUCACCUAAACCCAAUCCAAACCCAAUUAUCCAACCCAACCCAAUUACCCAAUCAUAAAAAUUACAAAUAAUUUAAUAAAUAAAAAUAAAAUUCUAAAACCAAAACUAAAACUAAAACAAAAGUCUAAAAAUAAAAAAAAAAACAUAUAAUUCAGGUAAUUUAGGUAAUUCAGUUAAUUUUUAACCAAAAAUAAAAAAACAUAUAAUUUUCGGUUAAUUCGGUUAACCGACCGAAUUAACCGAAAAAAUUUCGGUUUGGUUAAAUUUUUUGAAAAAAUUUCAGUUUGGUUAACGGUUAAAAAUUUUGAAAGGUCGGUUAAUUCGGUUAAUGUUAUUUCGGGUUGGUUAACCGACUAAACACCCCUACAAACGACAACAAAACGCAUAUAUUUACCGUCUCCAACAUUAUAAAAUCAAAUUUUCUAAAAUUACAUGCCUCAGGGAUGUUAUUUUAUUUUUAUUAAUAAUUAAUUUUUACUAUUGUAAAAUAUAUCUUUAUAUUUUAUUUUAUUUAUGAACACAAUUUUGAUAUAUAAUUAUUUAUUAUAUCCUAUAUUAUGAUUUUUCCUUUUAGUUAAAUAAAGGAACAAAUUAAUUACUAUAUAUUAAAUCAAAGAACAAAUUGGUCAUUUCUGAUAAUGAAUUCAUUCAUUUCUACUCUUAAAAAUUGAUAGAUAGAUAAAAUAACUAAAUAGUGACAUGUGGCAUGUCACGUGUACAUAGGGGCGAAGCUAGAACAAUUUUUUAGGGGGGCCGAAUGAAAUUUUAAAUUUUUAUAGUCUAUAUCUUUAUAAAGUUUAAAUAAUUAAAUCGAAUUUUUAUAAUUUUAGAGGGGGCUAAAGUGUAAUUUUAUCUUUACUAAUUUAAAAUUUUAAAAAUAUUUAGAGAGCCUAAAUAACAAUUUUUCAUUUUAGGGGGGCCGGGGCCCAUGCCAGCCCCCCUAGAAUCGCCUCUGCAUGUACAUUAUGUUGACUACAAAGAUCAAUUUUUAAAGAUAUAAUUAGAUUAAAAUUUGAACAGAAUGAUAAGUUACUCUUUCAUCUAAAAUAUAGACACUAAUUUAUCCUUAUUCAUGUUUUAAAUAAGAAAAAAAAUACAACUGAUUUCUAAUAUAAAAACAUCCAUACUACUUUUAUUGUAAUAUAUAUAUGAUGUAACAUGUUUAGCUAUUUAUAAUUAUCCAUAUAUUUUUUAAUAUUUUAUAUCUAUUUUAUUAUUUAUAUUCAAUAUUUAUAGUUAUUUUUUUUCAUUAUAUGUCUUUUAGCUUUUAUUGGGACAAAAUCUUAAAAGAUCAGUUGUUUUACAACGGCAUUCAAAAAGAUAAUACCCUUAUUAAACGAUGUUUUGACAGGAAUGCGUGUCCAAAUGGUACCAAUGGUUGCCAUUUAACCUUUUAUGUUCAUAUAGGUCACGGAUUUGAGACGUGGAGAAGCACCAUUGGAUAUCUAUAUUUUUUAUAGAAUUAAUUCUAAAUAUAAAAAGAUCGGUAACAUCGACUUAGUAACAAAAAUAUUAAUAGUCUAGAUAAGUUAAAGUUAUAAAAAAAUAUUAUAAUAAAAAAUUAAUUCUCAGUUUUUUUAUUGUCCUCCCAUUCAACUUUUUAUUAUUAUUGCUCAUAUAUAUUAAUUUAAGUUUUUUUAUCAAUUUUUUAUUAAUAAUCGUUAAUGUUUUUAAAAGAUAAUCGUUAAAUUUUAAUAGAAAUUAUUUAUCGAAAUUGAUUUUUUACACUUUUUUUUUUCUAGUUUCUACUUUCUACUCAAUAUCGAAUAAGAAUAUUUAAAAGUGAUUACCUGAAAGCUGGAAAGCAGUGGGCGCUGACCAAAGGCCCACGUGUUUCACCAUUUUUGCAGCAAUCAAGAUCUAGAAACAACAAAAAGGAAAGAAAAACGUCACAUCACAUCGCUUUUUCAUUUUGAUUUUUUUGUUGCCGAUUGCAAGAGUACCGGUUUCCGGCAAUUUGCUUAUCUCUGGAUAUUGGUGGAGGAAAAUAGAUCGCCCUUUACUUCAUCAUUUUCAUGGCUAAAUGAAUCGAAGGUUGAUGAUCCAAUACAUCUGAUUAGACAGAGUAACACGGUUGAUUCAACAAAAUCUGUUUAAAAAAGAGAGAAUAAUUCAAACAUAGAUUAAGAGAAAAUCGACCGUGAUUACUCUGUCCAAACAAAGGAACUGGAUCUGAAUGCAAAAUUCUUCAACAGAGAGAAAAGAAAUAAAAAAGAGCUUAGACAUUUGAAGUGGAUUUCAAAAGGGUUUAGGGGUUUGAAGAAGAUAAGAAGAGAAAU
rnacentral:lncRNA from 1 species